rnacentral:rRNA from 1 species
GACGAACGCUGGCGGCGUGCCUAAUACAUGCAAGUAGAACGCUGAAGGAGGAGCUUGCUCUUCUGGAUGAGUUGCGAACGGGUGAGUAACGCGUAGGUAACCUACCUGGUAGCGGGGGAUAACUAUUGGAAACGAUAGCUAAUACCGCAUAAGAGUAGAUGUCGCAUGACAUUUGCUUAAAAGGUGCAAUUGCAUCACUACCAGAUGGACCUGCGUUGUAUUAGCUAGUUGGUGAGGUAACGGCUCACCAAGGCAACGAUACAUAGCCGACCUGAGAGGGUGAUCGGCCACACUGGGACUGAGACACGGCCCAGACUCCUACGGGAGGCAGCAGUAGGGAAUCUUCGGCAAUGGACGGAAGUCUGACCGAGCAACGCCGCGUGAGUGAAGAAGGUUUUCGGAUCGUAAAGCUCUGUUGUAAGAGAAGAACGAGUGUGAGAGUGGAAAGUUCACACUGGACGUAUCUACCAGAAAGGAC